AGGAAAAGAAACUAACAAGGAUUCCCCUAGUAACGGCGAGUGAAGCGGGAAGAGCUCAAAUUUGAAAUCUGGUAGCCUUCGGUUGCCCGAGUUGUAAUCUAGAGAAGUGUUUUCCGUGCCGGCCCAUGUACAAGUCCCUUGGAACAGGGCGUCAUAGAGGGUGAGAAUCCCGUCCUUGACAUGGACCCCCGGUGCUUUGUGAUACACUUUCAACGAGUCGAGUUGUUUGGGAAUGCAGCUCAAAAUGGGUGGUGAAUUCCAUCUAAAGCUAAAUAUUGGCGAGAGACCGAUAGCGAACAAGUACCGUGAGGGAAAGAUGAAAAGCACUUUGGAAAGAGAGUUAAACAGUACGUGAAAUUGUUGAAAGGGAAACGAUUGAAGUCAGUCAUGCUCUUGGGACUUACCUCCCUUGAGUGGGGUCAACAUCAGUUUUGAUCGAUGGAUAAAGGCACGGGGAAGGUAGCACUCUCGGGUGAACUUAUAGCCUCGCGUCAUAUACAUUGAUUGGGACUGAGGAACGCAGCAUGCCUUAUGGCCGGGAUUCGUCCACGUACAU
rnacentral:rRNA from 1 species